CCCAGGUCACUCCUUUCUCCAAGUUUGGAGUCUCGCUCUCUUGCUGCUUCCGGGCCUCAACGACCCUCGGGUUGUCCGACCCGCCUUACGAGUGUCCAUCGGUCUGUCUCUCUGCGGUCCGCAGUUGAGUGCGGGCUCUUCCUUCCCGCACCCUGCCCCGCCGCUGCGGCGGGUGGCGGUAAGCAGAAAUGACCAGAGUGUAUUAUCAACCCAUCCAAGCUCUUGCCCCGCCCCUCCCUGUCUCCAGCUCUAGCCUUCUCUGCAGCCAGACCUCGGGAUCUUCGGGAUCUGACUGGAUAAAGUCGCUGUACUUCUCUGGGUGUUGAAUCAUUCAUUGAAGAUUGGAAGCCCUGAAGGUUGGAUCCUAAGCUAUUCCAUUAAAGGAUGUUGUAAUCAGAAGUUUUGAUUAGUAAAUGCUGGGAUCACG